AACCCGACUACACGAAGCUGGAAUCGCUAGUAAUCGCGAAUCAGAAUGUCGCGGUGAAUACGUUCCCGGGUCUUGUACACACCGCCCGUCACACCAUGGGAGUCGGGAAUGCCCGAAGUCAGUGACCCAACCUUUGGAGGGAGCUGCCGAAGGCAGGUCUGAUAACUGGGGUGAAGUCGUAACAAGGUACC
rnacentral:rRNA from 1 species